AUAUUCUAUGUGCUAGCAAAGAAUAUAAUAAUAUUUCAUUUGGACUAAUAAUUAGAUUUACUCGACUAAUUAAAUUCUUUAAUUUAAUUAUCAAAUAAUAAAAUAAUUAAUCAUUUAGCAAAGAUCAGAACACUUGUUAGUGUGCGACCUCAUAGGUUCAAUACUAAACCGGUAGUAAAUUGACAUAUCAAUAUACUAAUCAAGGGUGGCGUCUAGCAACACUCCUUAACGACCGGAUAGCAUGAAGUAUACAAUUUACUCUCAAGAACCAGUAGAAGAAUAAAUUAUAUUCUAUGUGCUAGCAAAGAAUAUAAUAAUAUUUCAUUUGGACUAAUAAUUAGAUUUACUCGACUAAUUAAAUUCUUUAAUUUAAUUAUCAAAUAAUAAAAUAAUUAAUCAUUUAGCAAAGAUCAGAACACUUGUUAGUGUGCGACCUCAUAGGUUCAAUACUAAACCGGUAGUAAAUUGAUCAUAUCAAUGUACUAAUCAAGGGUGACGUCUAGUAACACUCCUUAACGACCGGAUAGAUGAAGUAUACAAUUUACUCUCAAGAACCAGUAGAAGAAUAAUGUAGUAAUUUCUUCUGUCCUN
rnacentral:lncRNA from 1 species